AGAGUUUGAUCAUGGCUCAGAUUGAACGCUGGCGGCAUGCCUUACACAUGCAAGUCGAACGGCAUCGCGGGAAAGCUUGCUUUCCUGGCGGCGAGUGGCGAACGGGUGAGUAACACAUCGGAACGUACCGGCUAGUGGGGGAUAACCCGUCGAAAGACGGGCUAAUACCGCAUACGCUCUUAGGAGGAAAGCAGGGGACCUUUGGGCCUUGCGCUAGCCGAGCGGCCGAUGUCCGAUUAGCUAGUUGGUGGGGUAAAGGCCUACCAAGGCGACGAUCGGUAGCGGGUCUGAGAGGACGAUCCGCCACACUGGGACUGAGACACGGCCCAGACUCCUACGGGAGGCAGCAGUGGGGAAUCUUGGACAAUGGGGGCAACCCUGAUCCAGCAAUGCCGCGUGGGUGAAGAAGGCCUUCGGGUUGUAAAGCCCUUUCGGCAGGGAAGAAAUCGGCGGGGCGAAUAACCCUGCUGGAUGACGGUACCUGCAGAAGAAGCACCGGCUAACUACGUGCCAGCCGCCGCGGUAAUUC
rnacentral:rRNA from 1 species